CAGUCGCCGCGGGAAUACGUAGGGUGCGAGCGUUAAUCGGAAUUACUGGGCGUAAAGCGUGCGCAGGCGGUUUUGUAAGACAGGCGUGAAAUCCCCGGGCUCAACCUGGGAAUGGCGCUUGUGACUGCAAAGCUAGAGUGCGGCAGAGGGGGAUGGAAUUCCGCGUGUAGCAGUGAAAUGCGUAGAUAUGCGGAGGAACACCGAUGGCGAAGGCAAUCCCCUGGGCCUGCACUGACGCUCAUGCACGAAAGCGUGGGGAGCAAACAGGAUUAGAUACCCCCGUAGUCCCUGUCUCUUAUAC
rnacentral:rRNA from 1 species